rnacentral:lncRNA from 1 species
GGAUAGGAAUGAGAGAAUGAUGCCACUGGUCUAUCCAGAAUCUUUGAGCUAAGUCCUUAGUUCUCAAACGUGUGGGAGAUUCUGGAGGAUGAAAGAACACUACCUGCCCAACUGGAAGCUAAUUAGCUGAGAAGUCUUAGAGCUCCCAAGGAGUGAGGCUGCUCCAAAGUUGGCUGCUGCAACCAAGUUCCUUUGGCCUCUAGAAAGGAGAAUUUGAUGAUUCCUACUUCUAAGUGGACCACAGCUUGGUGUGGAAUUGACUUGUCAACACAUAACACAAUGUCUUAAGUGCCAGAAUGGAAGGCUCAUAUGAAAAGUGAUUUUGGAAUCCAAGGGCCAGUCAAGAUGUUCUUACCAAGUGGACCUUUAAGCUGAGUUUUGAGGUAGAAGGUGACACAUGGGCAAGGGGUGGAGUAGGACUUUCAAGGCAGAUAGAACAACAUAGAAGGCAUGGGAAUGGUAAAAAACUGUGAUGUGUGUGUCUUUGGCUGGUGCUGGUGGCAAAACUAUAGAUACUUUGAGCUAACUGUAGUGCUCAGUGCUGAUGACAGGAUAUUGGAGCAUUCAUAACAUGGCAGCUUAUUCAUGAAAUAAUUCUUAUUUUUUUAUGAGAAGUGGCAAAGUCAUGAGUCCACACGUACCUUCUAACCCCCAAACCAGACCAACUCCUUGAAUAUUAUUUUGGAGCAGUGUUUGAUGAUCAAGAGGCAUGAGCCUAUGAUCUAUAUUUAGUCAUGUGCUUGACAAUAUGGGGCCACCCUGUAAGAGCAGAGUUUCUGUGUCAGCUGGGGAAGUACUGAUGUCAGGAUGAGAUCCUCUGAUGAUGUUGUCCCCAGCUUGGAAAUUACUGGUAACAAAAAAUGUUAGUCUUUUAUAUUGUUUUUUCACUGAUUCUGGUUGGCUGAUUACAAGGUACAGGGAAAGCAUUGUGAGCUAAAAAAGCACCAGUUUAAAUAUUUGCAUGUGGGUUGCUGUAUAAGAUUUUCUAUAUUUAAUGCAAAAAUUGAAUGAAGUCAUUCUAAUGGGUAUCUGACUCAUUUGGAAAGUGAACACUAUAGAUUUGCCACAUGCCAGUAAACACCCAUGCAUUUCUAUACCUCUUUAAGUAGAUGCUUCAAUACUUGCUCUCAUAUUAGUAUUAUUGCCUAGUUGGCACACUUUAGUGGGAGUGGAAAAAACCAUUUCAUGGGUGUGAGUGGACACCAACCUGGGAGUGAGAAAAUCUACAUUCCAGAUCUGGCUGUCUUAUUGGGUGCUUGGCUGUGUGACUUUAGGCAAGUCCCUACAGGUGGACAUUGAGAAGGAGCUGACAUUGCCUUUUUCUAACUUGGAUGGCACUAAAUGGAAAUUGAGUUAGGACAGAGAAAAGCAGGCUAGACACAAACAGGCCUUAAGUAUCACAGAAAAUUAAAUCCCUGCAGAAUAUAAUCAUGGGGACUCAAAUGCAACAAAAAUAUUAACUCUGAUUUACAACAUUCCCUAAAAAUUUGUUUCAUAAUAUUAAUAUUACAAGAAGACUGAGGAAUUAGUGUCUUUAAAGCUGGUUCAUUCAUUCAUGGUCUUCUUAAAGAGGACCUAUUGAGUGGAUGAACUGUUAAUUGCAAUUUCAAGUCGAGUGUUAAUAGGUGGUAUGUUUUGACCAUUUACUGUGGAUCAGCGCUGUUGUAAAUAGUUAACAAUCAUUAUCUAAUUUAAUCUUCACCACCAACCUUAUGAGGUAGUGCUAUUAAUAUCCCCAUUUUGCAAUGGAGGAAAUUGAGGUUUGCCAAGGUUAAGCAACUUGCCCCAAUCUGAUGGCUGUUAAGCAGCAGAAACUAAAAUAUUGGUCUAUCUCAUGCCAUAAUUGCUUAUCUGUUAUUGCCUGUUCAAUUCUUCACAUUUACAGAACCCUGAAGCAUUGGUUUGCAUCUAUAUUUCCAAGGACUUGAGAUUUGAGAAGGGUCUUUUCAUUCAAUAUCCAUCUAAUCCACAUUUUCUUUUUCCUUGUAAUCCAUGACGAGACAGACUUAUGCCUAAAAAGAACAUCCGUCUAUCAUUCCUUAGGUCAAAAACUUCCUUCCUUGGUGUCCUUUUAUCUUUAAGAUAAAAUUCUGGCUUUAUAACAUGGCAUUUAAUGACCCUUUAGGCCUUUUCCAAUGUAACUGUCUGGUGUGAAUGCUGUAUCCCAACCCAACUCCCCUCAGAUCAGAGAGGUCUAGUCAUUGUACAUCCUUGAAACACUCCUCUUCUCCUGCCACCCUACUGACUUAGGAAAGCUCCCACUUACCCUCCUCCAGGCAUCUAUAACAUGCCUUUUGGGGGAUGACCAUUUGUAUGGUAUCUGUCAAUCCCCAGUCCUUAAUGAAGCCCUACCUUGAUGUGUCAAGACAUCCACUUAAAUCCUGCCUAUAUUUAUUCAUUUGUUCACUCAGUUACUCAUUCGUUCAACAUUUAUUGAACAUCUAUAUGUGCCAGUCUUUGUGCUAAGGAUGUCCUGUUAAAAACCAGAUAGUGCACCUGUUGUAGAUAUUUUUCUGUUUAAUUAUGAUUCAUUUGUGUAAAGGGAUAGUAAUCUUGUUGAGAGUAGAUCUUUUUCCUUUUCUUUUUCUGCAUCUUUGCGUCUUCAAUAUUGGCACAUAGCAAGUUACCAGUAAAUGUUUUUAUUUUUUAUUUUUGAUGAAUUUCUGAAUCACAUUGCUUUUUAACCUAAUUUAUUCAUAUAGUAUCUGAGGAAAUCAAAACAUUUGUGUCUUUUUGGCAAGAAUUUUAUGACUAUAAACUAAAGUAUUGGUUUAUCUCAUGCCAUAAUUGCUUAUCUGUUAUUGCCUGUUCAAUUCUUCACAUUUACAGAACCCUGAAGCAUUAGUUUGCAAUGCUAAAUAUCAUUUGUGAAAAUAUUAUCAGGGUUUCAAAAAGUAUUUUUUUGUUUUUCUUGUCUUUCUUUUUUUGCUCAUUACCUUCACCACACUGAAUGCAAAGCACCCAAAAGAUGUUAUAUGAAUGUAAUGGUUAGGAGGUUUUUUGGUGCCCUUUACUUAACUAUAGAUGAGAACAGUAAAAGCUAGUUGACUUGGUAUGAACAUUUCCUUAAGAGUCUAAGAUGUUUCUGGGUCAAAAGUUCAGAUGGAUUUUGCAGAACUUCAGAGGAAGAACUUCUUCAUUGUAGGGGUUUCAGCCUCAAAAAUGACUUGAAGUACUUUUACAUCUGGCUAAAUUCAAUUCAACCAUUUGCUGUAGCACUUACAACCCUGCACAUUGUACUUAUAACUUAGAUACUGACUUUCUGGUAAUGGUAUUACCCUAAAGCAAAAGGUCUAGAUGAAGAUGCCUGAAAGCUGCAUCUCCUAAGCAAUUUUUCUGGGAGAGAGAAGCAACACACACACACAAACACAUACACACACACACACACACUCUCACACACAGAGAGAGAGAGAGAGAGAGAGUGUUCCAGAGACAAAUAAGUUGGAAAGUACUUCUUUACUAAGUACUUAGUAAAUAUCAUCUUUUGUAUAUUUACCAAGCACAUUUGCAUACAAAAGACUCUGAGAAGUCUAUACAUAAAGAGGCCUCACUAAUUGUAUUACCCCAAAUUAUUGGACUGUACAAUUUUCCCCAUUCCUAUACUACUUGACUCUGGCUUCUUCCUGUGACUCUAUGUCUUCAUUAAUUCAUUCAGCAAAUUUGCAUUGCCCAAUACUGCUGGCCACCAAGGAGUAUAACAAAGUCCCUAUCUUCAGUAGCUCAGAGUCUACUGGGGAAGCAGAUAAGUAAACAGUGGGUAAACAGGUCUGUGAUAUGAGCUAUAAUGGAUGUAUUCAUCAGGAGCUGGAAAUCAGACAUUGUAUUCAGGAAAGUGGAAUAGAAGUAGACUUGCACCAAGUUCUUCAGAAUUGGAAAUUGACCAGGCCAAUGGUCAAGCAUAGGAGAUUCCAGGCAACAAGAAGUACAUGAAAGUCAUUAAAUAUGAAUAAGUGACAAGUCUGCCCUGAUUAAGAUACAGGGUUGAAAGAGGACACUAGAAUGUGAUGAUAUGAAUGAAGCAGCAAGACAAGAUCCUGAAGAACCCUAUUUCUCAUCUGGGUUUGUCCUUUGCUUUUUCAGAACUGAUCCUUGGGUCAGGCCUGGCAGUUCUGGUUUGGCUUUUCAUGCCCUCUUACCAGCAGCAGGGACAGGAGGCACACAAGAUGAUUCAGAAUAUGGGAAACUGGGUUCCAGAGUUGUAGGAGUUGGUCAGAAUAGGAGGCGGCUGUAGAUGCCACUGGAAAGUCCCCAAAGAAUGAGUGCUCCUGAUAACAAAUUGUUUUUCUCUCUCAAUGAUUUUUGAUAUAACCAAAUGAUUCAUGCUUUUCUACCUAUAACACCCAGUACUGCUUCAGACACGGGUAGUGCAAGUGCGCUCACCACCACUCUGCUCUCUGCUUGAAAAUUAUUGUGUAAAAUGGUUUCCCUAAUAGAAACUGUUAUUAUUGACAAGUGGUAAAAUGGUACCUCAGGUUCUUUUUCUCUCUCUAGAUCCUGGCUGCAUAAUAAUUUUCCUUUUGAUUUUUUAAAAUAUUUUUUUCUCUCAGCUAUGUAUGUAUGUAUUUGUAAGCUUAUAAGUGAGAUAAAAUAUUGUUCAUAAAUGUUGUUACAUUUUCUCAUGUCCAGCAAAAAGAAAACUCCCUAGCAAAAUGAUCUUAAAAAUGGAAAACUCUACAAGUUAUUUAUUCCCUCAUCUGUAAAACAGUAGGGCUGGGCUAGCUUGUCUCUGGGGUCCCUUCUAACAUUAAGGUAAUGUUCCUGGUUUCCAUGGGAGUUGGACAAAAUUGUGGACAGCAGCUGUGAAAGAUAAUUGCCUCAGCAAGAAAUUUGUCCCUCACAGACUCUGGGAAAUGGUGAGCAUGUAUUGUAUUUCAUGUUAUGACUGGAAGAUGUGAACAAUAAUUAUGAGAACAUCCAUAGAAUUUCCCCCGGGGUAUAAAAUACAGAUAAAAAUCUCAUAAUAUUAACCUUUGAUUGCUGAUAUUCAUGAAGACUGGAACUCUCUACGGAGCUCCCUGAGAUUGGGACUGUGCUACUUGUCAUCUGGAUCUACUUGUCUAUGAGGAUGCCCAGGCCUUGGCUGGCUUCCAACAAUCAAUUCAUUCAUCCGUCUGACAAAUAUUUACUGGGCACCAGCCUUGUAUAGGGCAUUAUUCUAGGGGCUAAGAAGAAGGAUAAAUAAGAGCUCACAGUGUAGAGGGGAACUCAGAUAUGCAGUCCAUUCAACAGACAUACAUUGGGUGCCUAGAAUGUGCAUGGCUCUUGACAAAUAGGAAUGAAAUAAAUGACAACUUAUGCAUGUGCUCAAGCUCAAACUGAUACAUGGUUACUAAUCCAUGGUGUCUAGACUCAGAAGUUUCACAGAGGAGAUAGCAUAAAACAAGAUUUUAAAGGAAGAGUUGGGGCUCACCAAGUGGCUAAGAUGAAGGCCCUUCUAUGAAGAUGGAACAGCAUCUCCCAAAGUACAGAGGCAUAAAAAACGUGGUGUGGUUGAAGUAGUUGCGAGUGGUUGUGAUGGUCGCAAUAUGGCUGAAGAUAAGACUUGGAGGCUUGAAAGAGCCUCAUAUGCCGGUUCAGGAAAUCUGGAGAGAAAUAGGGACCCACAGAAAGAUUUGGGCAGAAUGCCUCAGUUGCUCGUUUGUAACACAGAACUAAAAAAGCCAACAUUUAUAGAAGUAUUGUGAGCAUCAAUAAUAAUAAGAAUAGUUGGGGGGAGGAGCCAAGAUGGCCGAAUAGGAACAGCUCCGGUCUACAGCUCCCAGCGUGAGUGACACAGAAGAUGGGUGAUUUCUGCAUUUCCAUCUGAGAUACCGGGUUCAUCUCACUAGGGAGUGCCAGACAGUGGGCGCAGGUCAGUGGGUGCACGCACCGUGUGCCAGCUGAAGCAGGGCGAGGCAUUGCCUCACUCAGGAAGCAUAGGGGGUCAGGGAAUUCCCUUUCCUAGUCAAAGAAAGGGGUGACAGACGGCACCUGGAAGAAAGGGUCACUCCCACCCGAAUACUGCGCUUUUCCGAAGGGCUUAAAAAACGGUGCACCAGGAGAUUGUGUCUCGCACCUGGCUCGGAUGGUCCUCCGCCCACGGAGUCUCCCUGAUUGCUAGCACAGGAGUCUGAGAUCAAACUGCAAGGCGGCAGCGAGGCUGGGGGAGGGGCGCCCGCCAUUGUCCAGGCUUGCUUAGGUAAACAAAGCAGCCUGGAAGCUAGAACUGGGUGGAGCCCACCUCAGCUCAAGGAGGCCUGCCUGCCUCUGUAGGCUCCACCUCUAGGGGCAGGGCACAGACAAACAAAAAGACAGCAGUAACCUCUGCAGACUUAAGUGUCCCUGUCGGACAGCUUUGAAGAGAGCAGUGGUUCUCCCAGCAUGCAGCUGGAGAUCUGAGAACGGGCAGACUGCCUCCUCAAGUGGGUCCCUGUCCCCUGACCCCUGAGCAGCCUAACUGGGAGGCACCCCCAGGCAGGGACAGACUGACACCUCACACGGCUGGCCGGGUACUCCAACAGACCUGCAGCUGAGGGUCCUGUCUGUUAGAAGGAAAACUAACAAACAGAAAGGACAUCCACACCAAAAACCCAUCUGUAC